rnacentral:rRNA from 1 species
CAGCAGCAGCCGCGGUAAUACGUAGGGCGCAAGCGUUAAUCGGAAUUACUGGGCGUAAAGCGUGCGCAGGCGGUUCGUUAAGACAGAUGUGAAAUCCCCGGGCUUAACCUGGGAACUGCAUUUGUGACUGGCGGGCUAGAGUAUGGCAGAGGGGGGUAGAAUUCCACGUGUAGCAGUGAAAUGCGUAGAGAUGUGGAGGAAUACCGAUGGCGAAGGCAGCCCCCUGGGCCAAUACUGACGCUCAUGCACGAAAGCGUGGGGAGCAAACAGGAUUAGAUACCCCUGUAGUCCCUGUCUCUUAUAA